rnacentral:lncRNA from 1 species
CCUGAUACUUCUCCAUCUCUAAAUCAUUUGACAUGUGUUUAUGGUUUACUGUAUAAUCUUGCCUGGACUUACAAUUUUAGGAAAACUGCUACUAGAUUUGGUGUAAGUCCGAUGUUCCAUAAGGAUAUAUAUCUUGCGGGGUCGGUUGGUAGUUGGUCGAAAAUCCAUUAUGAAGUUGCAAAAUACAAAUCGGUAUGCUGGCUAUCCUUUGUUCUUAUAUGA